GCUCUCAUACUCUUAUUCCUGCGUUCUGUUUUCAGAGGUGUCGGGACGGUAUCGUCGGUAUUUCCAUUCCUGAUUUUGGUAGAAGUACUCCGCAAUUUAUGGACGGUAAAAAGGAUCCACAUGAUGUUUUCAUGUAUCAAAACGGCUUUCAGAAUGGGCAUCGGAGGACGCCAUCGUCCUCGAGCCUUGGCAGUGAGUCGCUGGACCGACCAAUGCGGGUGUGUGUUGCAACCUGCAAUCGAGCAGAUUACUCCAAGUUAGCACCAAUCAUGUUAGGGUUAAAAGAAGAUAAAGACUUCCAGCUGCAGGUUAUUGUGAUGGGAUGCCAUCUUAUUGAUGAUUAUGGUUCAACUUAUCGUAUGAUAGAACAAGACAAGAUAAAGAUUGAUGCCAAACUUCACACGAUAGUCAGAGGUGAAGACGAAGCCGCUAUGGUGGAAUCGGUUGGUCUUGCACUUGUCAAGCUACCAGACAUAUUUCUACGACUCAAACCUGACAUCCUGAUAGUUCAUGGUGAUCGAUUUGAUGCUUUGUCUACAGCCACAGCAGCCGCACUGAUGAACAUACGAAUCAUUCAUAUAGAAGGUGGCGAAAUCAGUGGAACGAUUGAUGAUUGUAUACGACAUUCCAUCACAAAAUUAGCUCAUUAUCAUGUGUGUUGCACCGAGCGUGCCAGGGGUCGGCUCCAAGCGAUGUGCGAGGACAAUGAAAGGAUUCUCCUUGCCGGCUGUACAUCGUAUGAUAUGCUGCUGAAAUCGAAUACAAAAAAUUGCCAACUUAUUAUUGAUAGAUGGGUUGAAAAAGGCGUGAAACCAAAAGAGUAUAUCAUAGCAUUGCAACAUCCUGUGACUACAGAUCUUCACAAUUCUCUGAAAAUGUUCGACCUAACCUUGGAAGCACUCCUGGAAUUUGGCAAAAAGACCGUAUUGUUGUUCCCGAACAUCGACGCAGGUAGCAAAGAUAUGACGCGUAUCUUACGUCGAAAAAAGAUAGAAAACCAUCCCAACUUCAGCACAGCCAAGCAUAUUCCUUUUGAAGAAUUCAUUGUCUUGGUAGCCAACUGUGCGUGUAUAAUCGGUAAUAGUAGUGCUGGAGUAAGAGAGGCUGGAGCGUUUGGUACACCGGUUAUAAACCUUGGAUCUCGACAGACCGGUAGAGAAACAGGUGAAAAUGUAAUGCAUUGUCGUGAUGCCGACACUAAAGAAAAGAUACUCCAUGCUUUAGAACUACAGUAUCAGAAACAAUAUCCACCGUCAUAUAUCUACGGAGACGGGCAUGCUGUGUCUCGGAUAAUAAAAUUUAUGAAAGAACUGGAUGUUAUUGAUAGUAUACAGAAACAGUUUAUCUUCCCACCAAUGCCAGACGGUGUCAGCCAAGACAUAGAUCAUAUCUUAGAAAUUCAAAGUGCCAUAGCUGUUGAUCUCGGUGGAACCAAUCUCAGAGUGUCUAUUGUUAGCAAAGCUGGAGAAAUAAUGCAUAUGAUGUCUAAACCUACACCCAGUGACAACACAGCACGAAUGGAAUCUUUAUUAACCUUGUUAGUGGAUGCCUCUCAGAUUGCUACUAAACUCAACUGUAGAGUAUUAGGAGUGGGUGUGAGUACAGGUGGUAGAGUGAAUCCACACGAAGGAUUGGUCAUGCAUUCCACUAAGUCAUUAGAGGGUUGGAGUGCAAUUGAUUUGAGGACCCCGAUUUCAUCAGCUUUACACUUACCGGUAUGGGUUGAUAAUGAUGGAAACUGUGCGGCAUUAGGAGAAAGAAAGUUUGGACAUGGUAAAGGGAAGGAAGAUUUUCUUGCCAUUGCUACAGGAACAGGAAUAGGUGGUGGUUUGGUUUUGAACGGUCGCCUUGUUCAUGGCAGUAAUUUCUGUGCAGCUGAGCUCGGUCAUAUUGCUGUUAGUAUUGAUGGUCCUGCCUGUAUGUGUGGAAGUUCUGGAUGUGUAGAAGCUUACAGUUCGGGGUUAGCUCUCAUGAGAGAAGCUAAGAAACUCCAUCAAGCUGGUGAGUUAAUAGUUGAUGGUAUGAAAAUGACACGAAUGAAAUCAUAUCUGCUAAACAUCUUAUACAAGCAGCAAAAUUGGGUAACAAGAAAGCCGAGAAAAUAAUUCACCUUGGUGGUGAGGCUUUAGGUACCGCUGUUAUCAGUAUUCUGCAUCUACUGAACCCAACCUUAGUCGUCUUGUGUGGAGUCUUAGCGCCAACAUACGUCGACAUUGUCAGAGAGACAAUUGAGAACAAAGCGUUGCCAUCAGCACGUGGUGUCAAAGUACAAGUGUCUCUGUUAAAAGAACCAGCAUUGAUGGGAGCAGCCAGUCUGGUCUUGGAGUAUGCCACAAGACGAAUUUACUAAUAAUUGUUAUGACUAAACUCUUGAUACUGCCAUUCCCACUAUCUAUCUUUAAAGCACUGUGGCUGUACUUGUGUUAACACAUCAGCAGCAGUGAACUAGUAGCAUACCAAAAAUACUGUAGUCCCAAGGCUUCUAUAGAGUGGCAUGCUCUGUAUACUGUCUGCUUAUUUCAACAUUGUCAGACAAAUUAUGGGGACCCUUGUGGCGGUAUUAAAUCUUUCUGUAUGUAACAGUGUCAAAACGCAUUUCUGUAUCUUUCUACGACCAGGAAUUCCAUUUGUAAAUCUUUAAAUAACAUAAAAACAAAACCAUGGUCGCCAUCAUCUGACAGGAAUCGCAUGUUUUCUAUUGUGAAUAUAAUAUAAACCAAGUUAAGUUACAUAUACCCAUAUCAAUAAUGCUAAAUUGUUUUGAUGAUAAUACCUGCAUACUCAUUUUAGCACUGGUAUUGAGUUGUGCAUGCUUGGUGUUCUUAAAAUUUCAACCAACAAAUAAUUUUCAAUUGCAUUGAGAUACAAUUAUGCAAACCUGUAGUCUUUUUAUUGAAUACAUACAACACAGUUUUAGCCUUGAACAGUCACUCUGUGUGUGAUAAGGUGUUUUCAGGUUUUGUGAUACAUGGUAUAAAAAUUGCUUGUUAAUUCAGUCCUCUGUGUAAUAUACAAAUAAUGUAAUAAUAACUUCUGUGUCUACAUGUUGUAUAAUUGUAGGUAUUUAAAGUGAAUAUCAUAUUUUGUUAAAUAAUAUAUUGAAUAUGAAAAUAAAAAAAAAUCUUCUGAUUUUCCUUCAUAAAAUACUGCUCCAUAGCAAGUACCUCAAAUGGAAUCCUUUACAAAAUUAUAUACUCGUUAAUAGAUCAUACAAAUUUUAAUAAAAAAUAAAUUUAUGAUAACUAUCGAGUGGUAUAUUGGUUUUGUGUUUGCUCCUAUUUAUCAUGUAUUUUUACUUUAUUUUAUUGUAUUCGCCUUUGUAUGUGAUGGAUUUUUUUUCGCAAUAACACUUACCCCCACAUCCUGACUCUAUUUAUUGUAUUUAUUUUUCUAGUUGUGUGUCUUAUUAUUCAAAAGUUCUUUGUUACGAGUAUGCGGUAUUGUGCCAUUGAAGUUUCAAUCGUGGUAGAAUUGUAGUUAUAGUAUUUUAGCAAUUCAAUUAACAAUUUGUAUAAUAUUGGUGCAUUAUUAGGAAUUUAUUUACACUGACUCCCUGAUUAUCCAGUUACCACUUGAGAUCUGCAUUUCUGUUUUUAGAAGUGUUAUCUUCAUCCCUAUUAAUUGACUGGAUCUAUUAAAAUAGUGUUUGCUCGAGAGUGGGCAAUAACUGGUGUCAACUGUAGACAAAUCUCCCCUACUAUAAUACUAUGCAAUGUACGAAUAGUAUAGUAAUAAGUAACAUCUAUUUCAUGUGCAAAGUGGGUUUAUAUACUUCAGGUCACUUUGAAUAUGUUUCAACGAGAUGAGAUUCAAAUUUGAACCAAGCAUCCUGAUCUUGUGUUGUAGUCAGCCAUGUUGAAAUUUUAUGAAAUGCCGAAAACUCAACUAACUGACAAAUGAAGUCUUGGUUUGUUCUUGAGGUUCAGGACAUCUCUGCAGCUGGAAACUGUCAUGAAAAUAAAACUAUUUGAAAACAUUUUGUAAAAAUUGGCAGUAAAAUCACCUGUCUUUGUCAUCAUGGAAUCGAUACUAACUUGUAAACUUUAAUUUGAAAAUUUGUUGAGGCUUUCACCCAUUUUACAGGGUCUUCCAUAGUUGUCCAUUUUGUUAAUGUACUUUAUUUUGAGUAGAAUAUGAUUUGUGACUGACCUGAAGGCUUCAUUUACACAGUCUGUACUGUAUAUUUAAUGGUCACAUGUCACAUACAUGAUACAGAUGGCAGUGUUACCUCGCGUGUUAACUACUGUGAAUGAUGUAAUCAGUGUAUGCAUGUGACCAGUAAAGAUUUAGUUGUACAGUUCUCUUGUAUGCUAGAACUUUAAUAACGUCACAGUAGCAUAGAGUAGGUUGUGCUAUUUGUUGUAAACACUUGCUAGGUGGUUUAAUAUUUCAAUCAUUCACUCUGUAUUAUGGAGCAUGAUAUUAUUAUUGUUCAUUUUGUGAACUCUUUAGAAUCUAUUCUGCAAUAAAACUCACUGAUAAUUUCAGACAA